UGGUAUUGAUAAAGGUUCAAGUUUGGGGCUAUUGGGAAAGUUGAAAAAGAAAAAGAUAAGCAUUGAGCUAAUGUGUUAAGCAAAACAUAAAAAGAUGAAAAAGACAAAAAAAAUAGAAAAGAUAGAAUGAGAAGAAAAGCUUAAUGCAAAGAAAAGGGAGAGUUGGGGAUGAGUGAGAUUGGUUAUUAAAGAGAGUUUGUGCUUAAAUUAUAAACGUGAAUAACUCUCUUAACUCAAGGAUUUUGUGAUCCAGAAAAACCAAUAAUCUUCUUAGCCCAACCACGUUACAAGCCAUAGAAAGUCCUUGUGAUGAUAACUUGUGUGUGAGUAUGAUUGAUUGUGGUUAAAUGAAAGGCGAAGUUAAUUUCUGUAACAUUGUGAUAGUAGAGAGAAUGAGUGAUGAGUCGAUAUUUUAUUGAUUUCACUUAGUUUAUUGUGCUAGAAUUAAUCAGGGAAUUGUGCUUAAUUGUCCGUUAUUUUCCUGUUUUUCCUAAUUAUGCUUAAUUUGACCGGAAAUUCUAAUUUU
rnacentral:lncRNA from 1 species